GAGCUUGUUGGCCGUGCCACCUUUCCUACCGACUCUUGGCUUGUCUGAAUCGUUUCUCGAUCCAGCCACCGUGACCUGUAUCAGAAACCUUUUGUUCUAUCACUAUCAUGGAUUGGAUGGCAAGAUAUUAAUUGGUGUUUCUGGUAAUGUUUGGAAGUUCCAAGUUUCUGUCCACAAAGGCCGACAUUUCCAGCGAAGAAUCGAGUAUCGAACUUUGACAAACCGGGUGGUAUCUCUCCAG